rnacentral:rRNA from 1 species
UACGGAGGGUGCAAGCGUUACUCGGAAUCACUGGGCGUAAAGGGCGAGUAGGCGGGAUUGCAAGUCAGAUGUGAAAACUAUGGGCUCAACCGAUAGAGUGCAUUUGAAACUGCAGUUCUUGAGUGAUGGAGAGGCAGGCGGAAUUCCCGGUGUAGCGGUGGAAUGCGUAGAUAUCGGGAGGAACACCAGUGGCGAAGGCGGCCUGCUGGACAUUAACUGACGCUGAGGCGCGAAAGCGUGGGGAGCAAACAGG